UCUUCAAGAUUUGGUGAAGCGUCGGGCGGCACCAGCAUCGGAUAAUUGGAGUCUUCAUGAGGUGGAUGUACGAGAUUACGCGAAUACAUAUUAAAUUGCCUUGGAAAAGUUAAAAAUAUUGCAACAAAAGGAAUAUGCGUUUUCUACGGACAAUGAAGAAACCAUAAACAGAAGGCAAGAUGUUCUGAAAAAACAAUACCGCUUGAAUAAAGGGCGUUUUGUAAAUCAGAAUAACGUCGAUCAGCAGUUGUCGGAAUGUAACAUAAAUUUAGGCAAUAAGUCGCGCAAUGCUUCAAUGUUUAAUGUCUUAAAGACAGUGAACUUGUGAAGUGUUUAUAUGGUAUAAUGACAACUGAAUCAAUUAAAAAUCCGCAGUUGAGCCCUAUUAAAGAGCAAGCAUUUAACCAAGCCCUCGGGAAGGUUAUAAAUUAUUCCCGUGAUUGGGAGAAUGGGAGAGAUCAUAGGCGGAC